ensembl:lncRNA
CAGAGAUAUUCUUAAUACCCAGUAUUGAUCAUUUACUAAUGUUACCACCUUUUAUAUACAGUGGCCAUCUGUCAAAAUUCAGAAAUUAAUUUUGGACACUAUAUUAUUUACUAAACUACAGACAUCAUUGGGCUUUUAAAGAGUUUCUCCACUAACAUCCUUUUGUUCCAGGACCCAAGCCAGAGUAUCACAUUGGGCUUACUUAGUUCUCCACGCCUCCAGUCUUCUCCACCAUGUGAUAGUAUCUCCGUCUUUUCAUGACCGUGACCCUGAAGAGUACAGCUGGUCAGUUAUGGACUGAAACCUCUAUGAACUAUACGCCAAAUAAACCCCUUUCUGUCUGACUUUGAGUGUUGGGUAUUUUGUCUCAGCAACAAGAGAGGAGUGACUAACACAAAAAUUUGGUACCAGCAAAGUAGGGUCCUUGUUGUGACAUUACCUGGUCAUGUGGCUCAAGAGUGGGAAGGGGAAGAGAUAGGAAAGAUUCAGAGAUGUCAGCUACAGAAGCAGAGCUGGAAUGCCUUGGGCUGUUCUGCAUAGGAGAUUCUGGUCAGACCUCAGAAGACCAGAAAGCCAGUUAAGGCCGGGCACGAGAGGUUUCUGCUGAGAAGAGGGACUGCACUGGGUGCUGGAUUCCAGACAUGUGUGUUAUGGCUUGGCAGGAAGUUUGUCUGCAUUUUCCUCAUGUCCAGAGACUUUGCCUGAGACUGAGAUUAAGGGUAGUGGACUAAUCUCACAGAAGAAAUUUCAAGACAGUCUAAUGUUGAGGGCGUGUUAUGACUGCUAUUUGGGGCUUUUAGCUAGGUUUAUGUUGAGACUGAAGAGCAAAGAGCCCAGCAGAAUGAUGUAGAACGUUUUGAGAUUGGCCAGAAAGGAAGCUCCAAUAAAAUUGGGGCCUGCGAAGAUAGAGCAGAGGAGAUCUUGAUUGCUGAGAAGGAAAAGGAGAAUAGAAAAGAUGGCCUAAGGACAUCACAGGAACCAGCAGGACUUCAUCCUUUGCAGUCUCAAAAUUUCAAAAGUGAAAGACUUUGCUUUGAGAAGAAAGCCCCAGCGCACCAUGUUCCAGAAUGGCAGCCACCUAGAGAAUUUGUUCCUUGGGAUUGGAUUCAGCGUGCUCAGCGAUCAGGCACUCAACCCCUACAGCCAAGAGAGAGGGAAGGCUGUGUACUGCUCCAGCUGGUGGCAGACCUUGGCAUCAUCCAUGUGGCGCUGGUUUUAUGUGCAUGCAGAAUGCAAGAGUUGUGAGUCAGGAAGGCUCCACCCAGAUUUCAGAAGAAGGCCUGGAGGCCGGGAGUGUGCCCCUGAGAAGGCAGUGUGUGAAGCUGAAGGUGCAGUGGAGACCCUGGAAGUCUGAGAAGCCAGGAGCAUGGAUCGGAUCAUCUGAGGAAAACUGCAGGGAGGGAGCAGAGCUGGCCCAAGGGAGAAGCUGUGGGAGCCACAACCACCAAAGCGCAAUUGUUCACAAUUUGCCACAGAUUGCCUAUGAUGCUGGAAGUGGAACUGUGAGACUUAAUGUUGCCCUGCUGGGUUUUGGACUUUGUUCCCAUUCCUUUGUGUCCCCGUUUGUAACCUGUGGAAUGGAAAUGUCUGUCUUGUGCCAUUGAAAGUUGGAAGUUUCUUUUCAUUUGUACAGGGGCUUGCAGCUCAGAGUUUGCCUUAAAUCUCAGAGGAGGCUUUGGACUUGGACUUACACUUAUGUAAUAUACUUAAAAAGUGGGUCUAGAAUACAUAACUUGUAUUUUAACUUGUACUCCCGUGAGAAAGUUGAUCAGAUACAGUGUUCAGUACUUUGCUUGAUGGGAAGGGUAGAACACCGUUUUAAAAAGUAACUUAGCUCGGUCACUUGUAUUUCCACUCCCUUCAUUGAGGUAGGUCACACAUUUGCAAAACAGAUUCAUUGGUCACCAUUCUUUUAGGGCUCCCUGACAGUUGUUUUAUUUAUUCAUAGAGUAGCAUGCACGCUGGGUGGGCUUUGAUCAGUGCAUGGAACCAUGCAUCCAGACCCCCAGGACAGGACAGUGUAUGGCCUCACAGACUCCCCCAGACCUCACCCCGCUCCUGGGAGCCACUCAUCUGUUUCUCCAUUCUACAAUUCUGGCUUUUCCAGAAUACCAUAUAAAUGUAUUAUAUGUAGCCUUUUGAGUCUGGCCUCUUUCUUACUGAAAUGGAUUUUAAGUUCAUUCACAUUACAGAAGUUGGUAGUCGUUCCUUUGUAUUGCGGAGUUCUCCAACCUAUGUGUCAAGGAUGUUUUCAAAGUUUAUCAUGUGACAAUCAUAUAUAGAUCUUUAAAUGUAAUUUAUUUUGCUUGGGUAAAUGCCUAGGAGUGUGAUUGCAGUCAUUUGGAGGUGUACUGUAUAUUUGUAAGAAACUGCUAACUGUUCUCCAAAGUGACUAUCAUUUUGC